rnacentral:rRNA from 1 species
GGAAUCGCUAGUAAUCGCAGAUCAGAAUGCUGCGGUGAAUACGUUCCCGGGUCUUGUACACACCGCCCGUCACACCAUGGGAGUUGGGAAUGCCCGAAGCCGGUGGCCUAACCGCAAGGGAGGAGCUGUCGAAGGCAGGCCCGAUAACUGGGGUGAAGUCGUAACAAGGUAUC